ensembl:lncRNA
GGUUGGCAGGCUGGAAGAGCCUACAUACUCCGGUGGGAGCGACUUAUGCGCUGGAAGGGUAGGCUCUACCAGCUGCUGGGCUCGAGCCGAUGCUCAAUUGGAGCUCACAGCGUUGGAACGGGUGAGCCCUACCGGCCGAUGGGGAGGAGCAGCGUGAUUGUAUAGCCUGACCAGGAGGACCCGAGUUGCCUCGACUGGAAUAAGUCUGGUUGUCGUCAUGGGUAAGCCUCGACGACCGUAGAAUGGAAAAGGUAAGGUUGUCUAGCCGGGAGAGUCUCGCCGAUGUCCGACGGGAGCUCAAUACUCACGGCAUCGAACGGGUAUGCCUCUCUGGACGGAAGAUGGAAAGGUAAAGUUGUGUGGCCAGGAGGCUCUUGCCGACAUCUGACGAGAGCACACAUCAUUGAAUGGGUAAGCCUCGCUGACCAUAGGACGGAAAAGGUAAGGCUGUCUAGCCAGGAGACUCUCGCCGACAUCCAAUGGGAGCUCAAUACUCACGGCAUCGAACGGGUAUGCCUCUCCAGAUGAUAAACGGAAAGGUAAAGUUGUGUGGCCAGGAGGCUCUUGCUGGCAUCCGAUGGGAGCUCAAUACUCACUGCAUCGCAUGGGUAAGCCUCGCAGACCGUAGAAUGGAAAAGGAGGCUCUUGCCGGGAUCUAACAGGAGCUCAAUACUCACGGCAUCAGUUGGGUAAGCCUCUCCGACUGUAGAAAGGAAAAGGUAAAUAUGUGUGGCUGGGAGUCUCGCCGGCAUUAGAUGGGUAAGCCUCACUGACCAUAGGAUGACCUAUUUUAUUUUUUAUUUUUUUUUAAUGGUUUGAUGACCAAAGAGGGUUUGGUCGGCUUUUUUAAUGUGAAACUGGUUAGUUCUGAUGUAGCUUUGAUAGUCUUCUGAAGGCCAUCUUUCUAGAGUUUGGAUCUGCUGCUUGGAAAGGCCUCUUUUGGUUGUGUGGCCGGGAGGCUCUCGCCGGCAUCGAAUGGGAGCUCAAUACACAGCAUCGGACGAGUAAGCCUCGCCGACCAUAAAAUGGAAAAGGUAAGCCAGCCAAGUGCUAAGACCCAUAAUUUUUUUUCUCUCCUUUCUUCUCUCUCUUCAUAUUGAUUGCAUGAUCGAUGUCCCCAAAAUUUUCAGAGUAGCUUUGGGCUAAUGCAAAACUGAGAAGGCGGGGCAUCGAAAGGGCUGAUCAUGAACCCUUGUUUAAUUCACGCCGCCAAUGGGGGAAUGCUGAACAGAUUAUUUCAGUGAAAUGGCUGAACGUAAUGAAAACUCAGAAAAAUGGGAACUUUGAUGUCCACAUUUGAGGAAUUGUGAUUGCUGUAGCAUUUCGGUUAUAAAGACUGGUCAAAAAAUAUUAAAGAUUGUGUACAUUUGAAUUAAAUGUUUAGCCAAACGAGGAUUAGAUUGCACAGUGACACUUUGCACAGAAACAAUUGUUGGGACGUUGAUGCCCUUUGAAGGCUUUUGAUAUAAUGCACAUGUUCGAUAGAACAGUAUCGUUAAUUGCUUUUCAUACUUCAAUUAAACCAAUCACCAUGGCCUCAUUGCCAUUAUAUAUGUAUUUUAGGUAAUUUUAAAGGCAAUUGUUUG